rnacentral:rRNA from 1 species
AUUGAACGCUGGCGGCAGGCCUAACACAUGCAAGUCGAACGAGUGGCGGACGGGUGAGUAAUGUCUGGGAAACUGCCUGAUGGAGGGGGAUAACUACUGGAAACGGUAGCUAAUACCGCAUACCAUCAGAUGUGCCCAGAUGGGAUUAGCUAGUUGGUGGGGUAACUGCUCACCAAGGCGACGAUCCCUAGCUGAUCUGAGAGGAUGACGAGCCAGCCUGGAACGUAGACAAUGACCAGACGCCUACGGUGGGCAGCAGUGGGGAUUAUUGCACAAUGGGCGAAAGUCUGAUGCAGCCAUGCCGCGUGUAUGAAGAAGGCCUUCGGGGUGUAAAGUACUUUCAGCGGGGAGGCGUUACCCGCAGAAGAAGCACCGGCUAACUCCGUGCCAGCAGCCGCGGUAAUUC